rnacentral:rRNA from 1 species
GAUGAACGCUGGCGGCGUGCCUAACACAUGCAAGUCGAGCGACCAGACAAGAAGCUUGUUCUCUUGCCGUUGGCGGGGGGCGGGCGAGUGAGACGUGCAUCACCAUCUUCUUUUACUGGGGUGAUAACGGAGAACAACUGCUACUAAUGGCUCAUAUGUCCUACCGCUUGGAUCAAUAGAUCUUGAGAGCUUUCCUGUUUCUUUUAGCUGGUUCCGGGUCGCAUUAGCUAGUUGGUAAGGUAACGGCUUACCAAGGCGACGAUGCGUAGCUGAGCUGAGAGGGUGAUCAGCCACACUGGAACUGAGACACGGUCCAGACUCCUACGGGAGGCAGCAGUAGGGAAUCUUCGGCAAUGGGCGAAAGCCUGAUGCAGCAACACCGCGUGAGUGAAGAAGGCCUUCGGAUCGUAAAGCCCUGUUGUUAGGGAAGAAAAAAAGUAGGUGAAACUAUGCACGUUUUGACGGUACCCAAAGAGAAAGCCACGGCUAACUUCGUG